GUCUUUUUGAGAUUUUUUUAAAGUCUAGCCUGCCCCCUGAUUUUUUUAUUAAAUGGCCGCAGUAUUUUAACUGUGCAAAGGUAGCAUAAUCAUUAGUCUUUUAAUUGAAGGCUGGUAUGAACGGUUGGACGAAGUAUAUACUGUUUCAUAUAUAUUUAUAUUAGAAUUUUAUUUUUUAGUUAAAAAGCUAAAAUGAGAUUAAAAGACGAGAAGACCCUAUAAAUCUUUAUAUUUUUUGUAAUUUAAACUUAUUGAAUUUUGUUUGUUUUUAUGCAGUAAAGUAUUUUGUUGGGGUGAUAUUAAAAUUUAAUGAACUUUUAAUUAUUUUUAAUCAUUAAUUUAUGAAUUGUUGAUCCAUUAGUAGUGAUUAUGAGAUUAAGUUACUUUAGGGAUAACAGCGUAAUUUUUUUGGAGAGUUCUUAUCAAUAAAAAAGUUUGCGACCUCGAUGUUGGAUUAAGAGAUAGAGUUAGGUGUAGCUGCUUAAUUACUAAGUCUGUUCGACUUUUAAAUUCUU
rnacentral:rRNA from 1 species